rnacentral:ncRNA from 1 species
CAUGUCACGGUGAAUGUGUUCCUGAGCCUUGUACACACCGCCCGUCAAGUGAUGGAAGCCGGAAAUACCCAAAGUUAGUUUGCUAACCAGCAAUGGAUGCGACUGCCUACGGUAGGUUCGGUGACUGGCACUAAGUCGUAACAAGGUAGCCGUAGGGGAACCUGCGGCUGGAUCACCUCCUUU